rnacentral:misc_RNA from 1 species
AAAGAUCUGAUUUUUUUUUUGAAGAUGGAUAGAGUUGCAUAGUGUUCAUCGAACUAGCGGAAGUGAGGAUUCAAAGUCUAAGCUUCCGGAUUUCUGGCAAUUUUUUUUUUGAGUUUUUUGUUUUUUAGGGGUUUAUUGUAUAUAGUUGUUGAUUGUGGGGAUCAGAGAAAAGGGGUUGGAAAAAGUUUGAUUUUUGAAGUGAAAAUGUCAAAGGUGGUGUAUGAUGGGUGGAUGGUUAGGUAUGGGCGGAGGAAGAUUGGCAGAUCCUAUAUUCAUAUGCGGUAUUUUGUUCUGGAGACGCGAUUGUUGGCUUACUACAAGAGAAAGCCUCAGGAUAAUGUGGUUCCAAUCAAGACACUUCCCAUCGAUGGUAAUUGUCGGGUGGAGGACCGAGGCCUGAAGACUCAUCAUGGACACAUGGUUUAUGUCUUAUCAGUUUACAACAAGAAAGACAAGUAUAACCGUGUCACGAUGGCAGCUUUCAACAUUCAGGAGGCACUUAUUUGGA